rnacentral:rRNA from 1 species
UUAUUAUUUACAAUAAUAGUUUAUUUUGUGAAAUUCAAAUUAAUUUGAAAGCAUAAUUUUGUUUAUAUUAAUGUUUAUUAAUUUUUAUUUACAAGAAAUAUUUAUUUAAAUAGUAUUUUUAAAAGAAAUAGUUUUUAUAAAACUUUGUUUUUUACUGUGAAGGAUUUAUUUUUAUUUUAUUAAAAGCAUACUUUUUUUGUAUUACCUUUUGUAUCAGGGUUUAUCAAUUUUAUAUUAAUUAUUUUUAAUUUUCCCGAAAUUAAAAGAGAUAUAUUAUAAUGAUUUUUUAUGUUUCAUAAUAAUUUUUAAUUUUAAUAUAGGGGUUAUAUGCUAUUCAAUUUUAAAUAUCUGGUUUUCUAAUAUAUUAAUUUAAUUAGUUCUUUUAUUUUAAGGAAAACAAAUUUAUUUUAUUCAAAUUUUGUUAAUUAAGUUUAUAGGGGAUAAGCUUGACAUUUAUUUCUAUAAUAAUUCUUUUUACAAUUAUUGUAGGAUUAGAAACUUCCAUCAUUAAUUUCGUUUCAGUUAUAUUGUUGAAGUUUUUAUUAUUAAUUGUUUAUAUAAUAUAUUUGGGUUAAUAAUUUAAUUUAUUUAUUUUUAUAAUAAUGAUAUAAUUAGUAUUUUUAAAAAUAAAAUAUAUGAAUUAGGCAAAACAUAUUUUCACCUGUUUAACAAAAACAUGUCCUUUUGAUGAUAAUUUAAGGUCUAAUCUGCCCACUGAUUUAAUUUAAUGGCCGCAGUAUUUUGACUGUGCGAAGGUAGCAUAAUCAUUUGUCUUUUAAUUGAAGGCUAGUAUGAAAGGUUUGACGAGAAAUAUUCUUUGUUUGUUUUAUUUUAAAAAACUUUAUUUUUUAGUUAAAAAGCUAAAAUUUUAUUAUUAGACGAGAAGACC